GAUGAACGCUGGCGGCGUGCCUAAUACAUGCAAGUCGAGCGAACGGACGAGAAGCUUGCUUCUCUGAUGUUAGCGGCGGACGGGUGAGUAACACGUGGAUAACCUACCUAUAAGACUGGGAUAACUUCGGGAAACCGGAGCUAAUACCGGAUAAUAUUUUGAACCGCAUGGUUCAAAAGUGAAAGACGGUCUUGCUGUCACUUAUAGAUGGAUCCGCGCUGCAUUAGCUAGUUGGUAAGGUAACGGCUUACCAAGGCAACGAUGCAUAGCCGACCUGAGAGGGGGAUCGGCCACACUGGAACUGAGAAACGGUCCAGACUCCUACGGGAGGCAGCAGUAGGGAAUCUUCCGAAAUGGGCGAAAGCCUGACGGAGCAACGCCGCGUGAGUGAUGAAGGUCUUCGGAUCGUAAAACUCUGUUAUUAGGGAAGAACAUAUGUGUAAGUAACUGUGCACAUCUUGACGGUACCUAAUCAGAAAGCCACGGCUAACUACGUG
rnacentral:rRNA from 1 species